UACGGGGGGGGGCAAGCGUUGUUCGGAAUUACUGGGCGUAAAGGGCUCGUAGGCGGCCAACUAAGUCAGACGUGAAAUCCCUAGGCUCAACCUAGGAACUGCGUCUGAUACUGGAUGGCUUGAAUCCGGGAGAGGGAUGCAGAAUUCCAGGUGUAGCGGUGAAAUGCGUAGAUAUCUGGAGGAAUACCGGUGGCGAAGGCGGCAUCCUGGACCGGCAUUGACGCUGAGGCGCGAAAGCCAGGGGAGCAAACGGG
rnacentral:rRNA from 1 species